rnacentral:rRNA from 1 species
AGUGGAUCCUGAGUACGACGGAGCACGUGAAAUUCCGUCGGAAUCUGGGAGGACCAUCUCCUAAGGCUAAAUACUCUCUAGUGACCGAUAGUGAACCAGUACCGUGAGGGAAAGGUGAAAAGCACCCCGGAAGGGGAGUGAAAUAGAACCUGAAACCGUGUGCUUACAAGUAGUCAGAGCCCGUUAAUGGGUGAUGGCGUGCCUUUUGUAGAAUGAACCGGCGAGUUACGAUUUGAUGCAAGGUUAAGCAGUAAAUGUGGAGCCGUAGCGAAAGCGAGUCUGAAUAGGGCGUUUAGUAUUUGGUCGUAGACCCGAAACCAGGUGAUCUACCCUUGGUCAGGUUGAAGUUCAGGUAACACUGAAUGGAGGACCGAACCGACUUACGUUGAAAAGUGAGCGGAUGAACUGAGGGUAGCGGAGAAAUUCCAAUCGAACCUGGAGAUAGCUGGUUCUCUCCGAAAUAGCUUUAGGGCUAGCCUCAAGUGAUGAUUAUUGGAGGUAGAGCACUGUUUGGACGAGGGGCCCCUCUCGGGUUACCGAAUUCAGACAAACUCCGAAUGCCAAUUAAUUUAACUUGGGAGUCAGAACAUGGGUGAUAAGGUCCGUGUUCGAAAGGGAAACAGCCCAGACCACCAGCUAAGGUCCCAAAAUAUAUGUUAAGUGGAAAAGGAUGUGGCGUUGCCCAGACAACUAGGAUGUUGGCUUAGAAGCAGCCAUCAUUUAAAGAGUGCGUAAUAGCUCACUAGUCGAGUGACACUGCGCCGAAAAUGUACCGGGGCUAAACAUAUUACCGAAGCUGUGGAUUGUCCUUUGGACAAUGGUAGGAGAGCGUUCU